CCGACAUUGGUGACUUUGUAUUUGGGUUGGUUUUAGGGACUGCUAUGGAAGCUGACUACAGUUUGUCACCUACCACUGCUGGAUUUAACUUUUUUGAACCAAGUAAUAUAUUUACCAGAGCUACAGCAUCUAGUCCCAUCAACCAACCAUUUAGUGAUAGUCAGCCAUUGAAGAUUACCACUGCCUGUUCACGAUCCGAGAUAUGUUUGUAUUAUACAAGUCCUGUCUUUUCACCGGGCGGUAAAAACGUGUUAAUCUAUGGAGAAGAAGGAAAGUUUGUAGCUAUGUCGAGUAAACGUGUAAGAGAUAUCACUGUUGAUACUGAUGAUUUACUUAUUACAGUGAUUGGUGGUGUUAAUGAACAGAUUAAGUUUGGAUUUAUAGAAGCCAAUCAAUAUAUAUCUAUAUCAUGUAACUUAGGUGCUACAGGUUCUGCUAUUAUCAGUUUUAUGGCACAAUCUUGUUCUGGACUUUGAGU